CAGCAUGUGACGUUAAUGGGCUCUAGCUCUUAUGCUGAUGACAUUAAAACAAUGCUGUAACAGAAUCAAAGCAAAUGAGAAUACUCGCCAGACUUCGAGUUACUUCCCGUUGUUUUCCUGAAUAUUUUUCUUUCCCUCCUUUCUAAAAAGGCACAGCGAACCUUUAAAAAUGUGGAGCUGCUUUCAGAUUUGCUAUUGUCAUCAGAUCAAUUUGGAACCAAGUCCUACCUUCCCAUCUAUUCUAAUUUCAGCAUACAAUCUCUGCUGGCUCACUGCCAGAACGGAGCUCAGGAAAUGAUAAAUACUCAUUUAUUUGCAGUUACACAGAUUUGCCUGGGACAGGCGGAUCAGGGCUGCAACCCCAAAACUUAAUGCACAUUUACACAUUAAUUAACAGCCAGAGCCAAUAUUUGUGUGCAGUACGCUCACAUGACAUAGUGGACAAAGGACAUAAAUGAGACAUGCUCUUGAAGCAGACUGAAGCUCUGAGUCUUGUCUGCCUGCCCCACGUUUAUCCCUUCCCACCGAAGUAACUAUGCACAAUAGGAAUACAAAAUUAGGUUGUACUAAUCUGAUUUGAAACAAACAGACCACAGCCAGAUACCACAUAUCUCAAAAAUAUGUCUUAGGAGUUGGUUAUGAUAAAUAUUAGGCAUGCCUAUAGGUUACUAAUUAUCUUGCUCUGCUGUUAUAAAUGGCAGCAAAAUACAAAAGGAAAAUAAACAAUUUACACUCACUUGUUUGGCUGGGAUUUGUAGCUAGCUACGGGGAACUGUUUUUGCUCAGCUUAUCCCAGGAUAUUUCGAAUGGAUGGGUGAAUUAAUAAGAGUAGAGGAUCUUUGCAUAUAAUUAAAAUAUAAUAUCCCUCUUGGAGGUUAUUUGAAGACUGCGUGUUUUGCAAAGGGUGAAUCUGUAGCAUGGAUAAAUAUUUCACAACGCUGUUUGAUUUUAUUUCCUUUUUUAUUUUUGGUGCUUCUGGAGCUCUGAGGCUGGUGUGUAAGAUAUUAGCCUGCUGCUAACAAAGCAGCAUUAUCAAGAUGUUGAAGAAAGAGUGUCAGCUCUGAGAAAAAUGCUGCCAACCAGCGCUUGAUGCAAUGCAGGGAACCCUAAAAGCUGAGGAGAAGAAUCAAAUUCUGCUCUCAUCUGAUGUAAAUCCAGAGAAACUCCAUUAACUGUGAUGGAGACUGUAGCACACAGGCCACUGACUGCCUCCAAGCACCCCCUUGUGGUCAGAUAUCACUCUGCAGUGCCAUACUACCAAUUUCUCCCCCUUCAGGAACAACUUCUGAUUUUCCAAACCCAGUUUUUGUGCUUAUUUGUGAAUCACUUCAUCCUUCAGAACAUGAAACUACAAACAGUGAGCUAUUAUGUAUGGAAUCAGAGGGCCCUUUCGUGGAGAGCAGAAAACAGCUAAAUCUUGAGAAAAUCAAAUGAAAACCAAAAUUACUGAAGAUGAGCAUCGAGCCACAAACCAUACAGUAUCCCUAACAACAAUGGAGUAUGAAUAUGAGCAGCAUAUUUACAGCUACAGACUUGACUUUUAUUGGUACUAGAGCAUAUAGCAAGAGACUAUGGUUUUCACGUAAAGCAUCAUCUCACAUAAAUUGAAAGUUACUGCACGCUUUCCCCAAUUACACACAAUUAGUAUAUAUAUUUUACAUUAAUUACCCAUUGUAAUUGUCUGGGCACAUGUUAAGUGACUUAAAGAAAUAAUUAUAAGAUAACAAUUUCACAAAAGUAAAAUCUGAACGUAACUCCCAAGACCAGCCCCUAGCAUAAUUGCAAAUCAGAUAUUUGCCCAGCUAUUCCUUCAAGCCUGCACACCAUGGACUUGAUAUUAAAUAUACUGGGGCUUUGUCAGGCCAAAAUGGGAAGCAAGUUCCAGAGUUGAGGAACCUCUAGUGCUUGCCUGUUAUCAGAACUAUCCCAGCAAAUCUCAGUGGUCAGGUUGCCUUAGAGAGAGAUUAAUUCUCCAAGGAAGUCAGGACCUGAAGUAAGGAAGAUUUUAUAGAUCAAAGUCAUCACUGCAAAUUAACUCUAGAAGGAAACUGGUAGCUACUGCAAUCUAUGGAAUUCAGUUGUAAAAAAGUCCACAUGAGAAAAUCCACUGUACAAAGCUUUGGCAAAGAAAUGUGAAUCUGAACUCCUGAUUUUCUAGUUUGUAGACUCUUGAGAGGAGAAACUGCCAGUUGCACCUAAACAUGAAGGUUUUGUGAUAUUGACACAUGUUCAUUAGUGAUUAAGACCAUGUCUACACUAGAGAGCUUCCAAUGGCACAGCUGUACCGAUGGAGCGUAAGUGGAGUGUAAGAUCACUCGUGUAGCUGCUCUAUGCUGAUGGGACAGAGCUCUCCCAUCGACAUAAUCAAAUCACCUCAACGAGCAGCGGUAGCUAUGUCGGUGGGAGAAGUGUUUUUUUCACACCCAUGAGCGACGUAAGUUUUGCCAACAUAAGUGGUAGUAUAAGUGUAUGGCCUAAGGCAAACAUCACAAAAAUCCCUUGUUUGUGACUUAAGAUAGGAUUAGUUAGUAGGUCCUUCUCGACCUCAAAUGCUCCUACAUCAUAGUGCUAUGUUGAUUUCUAUAUCCAGUACAGUGGCAAUAGAUUUGCAAAUGGAAAGAUACCUGGUCCAAACAAAAACAAGACAAAGCAUUAUUGUUCAGAAUUCCUUUAGGGCCAGCUCGUCAGCUGAUGUAAAUCAGCAUAACCCAGUUUAUACUAGCUGAAAAUCUAGCCCUUAAUGUGUUUCAUUGUUUGAGUCUUUACAGCAAAUUGUGAUCUAAGCCAGUACCUUACAGUGCCUUAUUUUGUUACAUUAAGUAACAAUUGGCAGUUCAAAUUUGCCAACAUUACUCAUCUGCAACCAGUUGGGUACCAUCAUGCACAAGGCAUUUUCUCCCAUUCCCCUGCUAGUCAUGUUGUAUGCAUGGAAAAUAGAGUUGCACAAACAUCUAAACUCAGAACAAAGCUGGAAAAACCUGCACCUUUUUUUUGCCAAUUCCAGUUUGGGGAGGAAACUGCUGGCAUUUUGCCCCAAAACGUCAUAGCAAAAAUUGAUCUUUGCUACACAUAACUGAAAGCUUUCAGGAAUUGCUGAAGGAGUGCUUUCUAUAGCUGUGCUGUAGCCUUUAGGAUAGCCAGAGGCUUUGUCUUUAAAUUCCGAAUGACAGAAAAAUAACUGCUACGAAGGUUCAUUUUGUCAGAGCCUGGAGAAAAAAUAAAUCAGAUGUGAGAAACCAAAAAUCCUGGUUCUGGAGCAGGGCUAGCCUUAUAUUCCCAGUUGCUUAUUUUUUGGGGGAUGUGGGAGUACCAAAUACAGGUUCACCCUGGAAAAUCUGUUAUCUUUAUUCUAUGAACAGACAAAGGAAGGAUGGGGUCCACUGUUCAGCUUCUAGCCUGAGAUUCUGGAGACCUGGGUUCAAUUCCCUGCUCUGCUGAAGUCCCUGCACUUUCUCCAGGGGCGCUUCAAAACUGUGGGAUAAACUCCUCCAGGAAUGAAGGAUCUUCACAAACCUCACUGCUUUCUGCUCCAAGUGCAAGGCCUAUUUGUCAAAUAUAAAUACACAGCAAUAUGUAUGUUAAAACAAAAGCCACCUACUAAAACCACAUACUCCAAUGCACCUCAUUCUCUCCCUGGCGAGAGGCUAAUAGAACAUGUGACAGAUGUGCAGUCAUGUUGCUUCAUGCUCUGUUGGAGGGUGCUCAGAUACUAUCAUGAUUAGCACAGACUAGACUUCCUGCCUGACUUUGGGCAAGUCACUUAGGGCCAGAGCCACCUUACUAACUGCCUAACUGCUUAACUGCCUCACUGCCACUCUAGAUGUAAGUCCAACAUUGAGGUGCCAUUGAGAUCCUCAAAAUCCCUGCCUGGCUGCCACCUAACACUGUAGAAGAUUAAAGUCCCAAGGCUCCUACAUUUCCACCCUUAAAGUCACCUAGGUGCCUACGUUUCUGCCAAUGAGCAUGUGCACAGCCAUUUCUGGCUAGGGACCGGGCACCUCUUGUACUUAAGCCCCACAAGGAUUGCCAAACUAGGCUUUCUCCCACCAAUUCAGCCUGUGGGGCCCAGCCUGGGAGCCAUGCUCAGAGCAUGCCUAACUCCACACAAAACUGCCAGAGGAGGAGGUGGUGCCCCUUUCAUAAUUUUUAGCCGAGUGGUUAAGGCACUCACCCAGAAUGCGGGAGACCCAAAUUCAAAUCCCUUCUCUGUGUCAGGUGGUGGGAUCAAACCCUUUUCCUAUGGCGAUUUGGGACUCCAUUCUUUUAGUAACUCUGGGAGAGUGUUAGUAUCCCUGAGUCUGGGAAUGCUGGAGAGCUGUGGGAUUACCAUGGUCAGUCGCCCUCCUGUGAUAUGCAGUGUUCCAUCGUCCAUACAUUAGCUGUCACCACAUUAUUUUUAAAUAAAUCAUAAAAAUGUCCUUUUCUUUUUUUGUUUUGUUUACCACUGUGAGAGCAGUAUCUUCCUAUGAUAACAUGGCCACUCUAUGCUGGUGAGCAGCCAAGAAUCUUGGAGUGAACUGGUUAGAAAAGCAGAACAAGUGAAACAAUUUUUUUUACAAUUGGAAACAUGUCUCAGCCUCUGCAUCUGUUUGAAUGUACCACACAGUCCAUAGUGUGCUGGUCUACCUGUCCUCUUGCCUCUGUGCUGGCAGCAGUACCAUAGUUUGAUUGGUUUUGCUUUUUAUUAAGUAAAACACAGUGAACAGGAAUUAAACAAUACCAUUUUUAAAAAGAAUCAAAAGCCACUUUUAAAAUAAAAUGUUACUGUUUCUCAUCAUGUCUGUGGAUGUUUUAGUAAAACAAUGUCUUUUUAACAUUAGUCAAGCAAUCAUGGCCUUGACACAUCACUAAAAUGAUGUAUAAUUUACUGGAUCAGACAUAUCAGGUUGCUCAUAGUUUAAAUACCCAUGUUUUUCUUUGAAGCUUGUUGCUUAGAUACCAGAAUGAUAAGCACCUUUAAAAUACUUGAGAGAGAAACUAGAAAACAAUUUAGGCUUGUUUGAGCACCGAAACAUUUUAGGAGUCUAGAGACCAACUGCAAAAAAACCCUUCUACUGGUCUGUAGGCUGAUGAUGUUGCUAGAUGUUCCCGUAUGCUGCAGUGUAUCUAAUUCCAUCUCAGCAGAGGCAAUAAAGCACUGUCUAGCCUGCCAUUUGGCAAGAGUCAAAGUUCAUGCUUAAGAUGUCUGCUCAGACCUGGUUUUAAUCCAUCCUUCAUUUAUCGGUAUUUGUCAGUAUCUCAGAAAUGUAAUUGGCAACCAGUCCUAUAUUGUAGCAUGUUUGCACCAUUGACUUAGUGAUCUGUAACAUGUGAUUUACCACAUCUGUCUGAAUAGCCAAGUAUUAUUGUAUCCUCAGAUGUGCUCCUUAGUGUCCAACUUUUUUAAAUGGUGUUUAAACUAAAUAAAAAUUCCCCAAGAAAAACAGCCACAAAAAUCAGAUGCCAGCAGCAUGUAUUUUAAAAUAUAUUUUCUUCAUUGCAAAAAUGGUAUAGUCUACAAAAAUGGGAUGGGCUACACUAUCCACAGGAGACUAGGGAAAAUAAGCAUUCUAUUACAUAGUAAAUACACUGUUCAUGGCUUUUAUAUUAAACACUAUUGACUGAA